AUUAAUUUAUAACCCAAAGUAUAGAAUUUCUAAACAGCAAUCAAACAUUAAUUAUUAUAACUUAUGGGAUCUGAUUAGAGCAGUUAUUGGAAGAAAUUUUAUAACCUUAAGCACUUACAUCAAUAACAGUAAAAAACGGAAAGAAUGACAAUAAAUGAAUUGGAUUUGCUACUCAAAAGCUAGAAAAUGAACAAACAAGUUAACCAAAGGAAACCACAAGGAGGGUAAUGGUGAAGACAAAAGCAAUAAUUAAUGAUACAGAAAACUGAAAACAAGAGAUGUAAUGAUUGGGUCUUUGAAAAAAAGUAACCAAGUGUGCAAAACCUCCAGUUAACCUAAUCAAGAGGACAAGGGAGAAAGUCCACGUUGAGUCUGAGCCCGUGACUAGGGAGAGUGGAUAACAUACUUACGCACACAGAAAGGGGUCUUGCCCGACCAGUGAUGAUCCUGCUGGCAGAUGCGCACCGACAUGCCGAUCAGGCGGAAGCCGGCAUUGCACUGGUAGCAUUGACUGAACAUCUACUGAAUGGAGGGCACCUGGUCUACAUUAAAGCAGUCAAAGCCCAGCUGAGUUGAGUUGGAAAUGACUAUGCACAAACAGGUGAUCUGGCUAAACCCACCUUUCCUUCUCCUUGAGUGGCAAGAGACACAGACAACUUAACCUAGGCCCUAAUAAAAUUACAGUAAAGACUGGUAAAGCAGAAGAGCCUAUAACAAAAAGCAAAAUGGGAGGAUCAGCAGCAGAGGAGACUUAAAAAAAAACUUCGGAAGAUGGAUUGUAGAUAGAAGUGUGCUGAGAAUUAAGUGGAGCUGAGA